rnacentral:lncRNA from 1 species
CUUUUUAUUAAUCAUUUCUUUUCUCUUUUUCAAAUUUUACAUAAAGUAAAAAGCACUAGACAGGAUAAGUCCCAAUGUACCUAAAAUACCACUUCCUAUCAAGGGUUUUUUAUAUUUUGCAAUAAAGCCCUCUUCAUUCUGUAAAUAAAAAAACAUUUACAUAUUAUUUUAAUGACAUGUUUUCAUGUAAGUAUGUAAUUAUAUGUAAAGAUAUAUAUAUUUUUGUUUUUUCUUAUGUUAUUAUUUCAGUAUUUUUGCUUAGUAUGUUUUGUAGAGGUUUUUAAUUGCUUACAUUUACUAUCUCUUCCUUUUUUGCCUUUUCUACGUCUUCUUUAGCUUUUACUACUUCGCUUUUAGCUGCUUGUACUACACUUUCUGCUGUUUUAAGUUCUUCUCUUUUCUUUGUCACUUGAUCACUUUUUUUUUCUUUUUCUGCAUGUAAUAUAAUUGCUUCUAGUUUAUAUACAUUUGCCAUAGCUUCUGCUACUUUAACUUCUGCUGUUUUAACUUUAUGGUUUUGUUUAGCCACAUUUUUUGCUAUUUCUAAUGUUUGUGCCUCUAAUUUAGCUUUUUCUGCUUUAUCCUUUGCCUCUUUAGCUUCUGCUUCUUUUUUUAAUUUAGCCUUUUCUUCUAUAGCUGCAUUUUCUGCUGCUUUGUUUGCUAAUUUAGCUAUUUCUUCUGCUGCUGCUGUUGCUUCUGCUGCUUUUUUUUUUUUGCUUCUAUUUCUAAUUCAGUCCUUCCUUCUGUCGCUAUGUGUUUUGGCAUGUUUAUAUGUAUUUCCUCUACACCUUUAUGUCCAUGUCUAUGUCCGUGUCCAAGUUCGUGUCCAAGUCUAUGUCCAAUUCCGUGUCCAAGUUUGUGUCCAAGUCCGUUAUCAUGUCUGUGACCAUUUUCAAAUCCAUACUCAUAUUCAUAUUCAUAUCCGUGUCCAUGUCCAUGUCCAUGUCCAUGUCCGUGUCCAUGUCCAUCUCCAUGUCCGUGUCCAUGUCCGUGUCCAUGCACUUCACCUCCUUUUAUUUGUACUCCAUACAUUUCUCCUUUUAAAUUACUUGCAUUUCUUUGUGUUGAAGACCUAAAUCUUUUGUUAAAUUUAUCUGUUUUAUUUUGAAUUAAAUUCAUCAUAGAAUAGUCUUCACCAUUUUUGCUGCUCAUGGGUGGAGCGUCAAAUAUUUCUACGAAGAAACAAAUAUCAAUACAUAUAUGUUGUAUAUAAAUAUUUACAUUUUUUAUGUAUAUUUUAUUUGUAUUUUAUUUAUAUGUACAUUACUUAUUCUUUUAUGUGCAUCAUUAAAUAUUAUAUAUUUAUCCAAAAAAAACGGAACUCCUAAACUUAUAUCAUCAGAAGCAUUUAUUAAAACUUUGUAAUUAUCGUCACUAAAAUAAAAAAAAAAAAAAAAAAAUUAUAUAUAUAUAU